GAUGAACGCUGGCGGCGUGCCUAAUACAUGCAAGUCGAGCGAACGGACGAGAAGCUUGCUUUUCUGAUGUUAGCGGCGGACGGGUGAGUAACACGUGGAUAACCUACCUAUAAGACUGGGAUAACUUCGGGAAACCGGAGCUAAUACCGGAUAAUAUUUUGAAACGCAUGGUUCAAAAGUGAAAGACGGUCUUGCUGUCACUUAUAGAUAGAUCCGCGCUGCAUUAGCUAGUUGGUAAGGUAACGGCUUACCAAGGCAACGAUGCAUAGCCGACCUGAGAGGGUGAUCGGCCACACUGGAACUGAGACACGGUCCAGACUCCUACGGGAGGCAGCAGUAGGGAAUCUUCCGCAAUGGGCGAAAGCCUGACGGAGCAACGCCGCGUGAGUGAUGAAGGUCUUCGGAUCGUAAAACUCUGUUACUAGGGAAGAACAUAUGUGUAAGUAACUGUGCACAUCUUGACGGUACCUAAUCAGAAAGCCACGGCUAACUACGUG
rnacentral:rRNA from 1 species